rnacentral:rRNA from 1 species
GACAGAGGGUGCAAACGUUGUUCGGAAUUACUGGGCGUAAAGCGCGUGUAGGCGGCCCUGCAAGUCGGGUGUGAAAUCCCACGGCUCAACCGUGGAAGUGCACUCGAAACUGCAGGGCUAGAGUCCUGGAGAGGAAGGUGGAAUGCUUGGUGUAGAGGUGAAAUUCGUAGAUAUCAAGCGGAACACCGGUGGCGAAGGCGGCCUUCUGGACAGUGGACUGACGCUGAGACGCGAAAGCGUGGGGAGCAAACAGG